CCCUCAGCAAGUCAAAGUGUCUGCCUGGUGCUGGUAAGCCCUUUGUGACUUCGGCUGGGACAAGGCCCACUCGGAGACGGGAGACCCCACCCGGGGCUGAGCCUGCAGGAAGGCAGCGUUGCAGCGGUGCUGCAAAUGCUGGUUCAGACGGAAAGCGUGCCUCCCAGAGCCAUCAGCGCCCUCCCCUGUCCAGCCUGUCACAUAAAAAACAUGCUGGCCUUGAUUCUGCGACGCGGGCUGCGUUUCAAGGUCGUCCAGUGUGCGUGGGGGGGGGGGGUGUAACUGUUCACGGCAGUCUCCCACCAUCCCCUGCGGUGCAGCGGAGGCAACGGCAGCGUCUCCUCUUCCAUCGGGACUCACUCCCUCCUUUCUCGGCUUUCUGGUCCCUCCGCGUGUCGGUUCAGAGCAUGUGCCCAGGGGUCUCAGGUGGAACUGGUUUUCCAACUAUUUCCUUUACCUCCUUGCCCAGAAGUGGAUAUCCCAAGGAAACGUCCUUGACUAACAGAAGAUCUCUGUGAGAGCCGGUGAGGGACACAGGACUCUGUGGAACAUUAGGAGGGACGAGACGAAGUUGUUCCCCACCUUCCGUGAUGCCGACUCUCGUCCUCACUUGUGGAAACGACCACGCACGAGGACGUGACCCGGGAGGCACGCUCCCACACACUGAGGACGCGGAGCCUCGGACACCAGGAAAGGAGCCCAGGUGCUGUGCACAGAGGUGUUUAUUUAGAGGAAUAAUGUGACUGACUGGCGGCCGGGGAACACAGCUCUCUGGCCCAGAGGACGGACGGGGGCGGCGAGCACAGCUAGGGCUCGAGCAAGCGGCCCGUGACGAGGACCCGUGCGGGCAGCACGGAGGUGGCAGGAUGCUGGGAACUGUGAGGCGCGUGCAGGCGUCUGCCCUGACGCUCCUGGACCGGCAGGGGGUCCUGGAGUUACCCUUCAUCGAGAGGAGCGCACUCAGGGAGGACUCAGGGAGGAGGAGGCCACGCGGAGGGCGGCCGCGAGGAGCUGGCACUAAGCUGUCCAGGAGGCCGGCUGAGUCUUAAGGUCCGAGCUUGAAAUAGUUGGGAAUCGCAGGCAUAAAAGUGGGGAAAAUAAUCUGUGAUUUAGAACAAAAUCCGAUUGCACCUUUUUGUGCCUCCUAAGUGCUGGGUCAUUCAUCGCUGGGUAGAGAACUCUUGGGUUUGGGAAAGCAAUUUGG